AUGCAGAAGGAAGGGCUUUUGAUGCAGCGUGUUUUAUGAGGUAUUCGGAUAGAGAUUUUUUUGGUGAUAACAUGACAACUGAUAUCACACCAUUUCUUGGCGGAGGAGGAAGUUCAAACAAGAAGAAAACCGCCAUUAUUGGGGGUGUAGUUGGAGGUGUAGGACUUAUUUUGAUUGUAUUGGCUGUUAUUUCCUAUGGUAUCGACUAUCAAGAAAGCCAAAGGCAGCUGAAAGAGGUAAUAUACUGGGAGA